ACUCCUACGGGAGGCAGCAGUAGGGAAUCUUCCACAAUGGACGAAAGUCUGAUGGAGCAACGCCGCGUGAGUGAAGAAGGGUUUCGGCUCGUAAAACUCUGUUGUUAAAGAAGAACAUAUCUGAGAGUAACUGUUCAGGUAUUGACGGUAUUUAACCAGAAAGCCACGGCUAACUACGUGCCAGCAGCCGCGGUAAUACGUAGGUGGCAAGCGUUGUCCGGAUUUAUUGGGGCGUAAAGCGAGCGCAGGCGGUUUUUAAAGUCUGAUGUGAAAGCCUUCGGCUCAACCGAAGAAGUGCAUCGGAAACUGGGAAACUUGAGUGCAGAAGAGGACAGUGGAACUCCAUGUGUAGCGGUGAAAUGCGUAGAUAUAUGGAAGAACACCAGUGGCGAAGGCGGCUGUCUGGUCUGUAACUGACGCUGAGGCUCGAAAGUAUGGGUAGCAAACAGGAUUAGAUACCCUGGUAGGAUAGCC
rnacentral:rRNA from 1 species